rnacentral:lncRNA from 1 species
UUCUUUUUUUUUUAAACUGAUGAAAAUGGCUUGAUUUCCUGAACGGCAAGGAUUUCUCCCUACCUUUGAGCAGUCUCACAAGGCAAAAGUCAAGUGUGGCUCCUAUUAACAGAACCCUGCUACUCAAAGCUACCUGCAUUUUCACUGGCUCACAAAUGCAGAGGUCUGGGAUGCACUAUGCUCAGCCAUCACUAAUCUCUGGCUUCUACACUCUUCCUAAGUCACAGGCUGUAUUCAACUCUGAAGCAGUAAGGAAGAACCUUUCUACCCCAGCACUUCCUCAAACAUGCUCUGUCACAGAGCCUCCAGAAAGAUAUCAUAGCUGCUCAACUAGAGACUGUCAUUCAAAUGGGUUUGGGAAACAAUGGGUUAAGAGACUGGAUCCUUUUUUUUUUUUUUCUCGAGAAAUACUUAGAUCAUGUAGAAUGGUAACAUCCACUGUGGAAUUCUCUCUCUCUCUCUCUCUCUCUCUCUCUCUCUCUCUCUCUCUCUCUCUCUCUCUCUCAAAAACGAGCAAGCAUGAAAAGUUCCGGUAGCCACUGAGGGAACUAUCUGCCACCCUCCCUCCAGUUAUUAUUCUAGGACAUUCUGGAACACAUGUUAACAAAGGUGACCAACUGAAAGAAAUUUCCUCAAUAGCUUUUAAGAAAAUCAAAGAAAUUUACCAUUUAUUUUAUAAUAGUUAUAAUUUGGUAUUUUGUUCAGACUAACCAAAACUAUAGAUUAUU